rnacentral:lncRNA from 1 species
UACCAAAAGAAAGUAAUUAUUUGGAACCACUUAUAAGGAUAAAAUCAAUAACUACAGGGCAUGAGCUUAAAACUCACUGCCCAUAACCUGUAUGCUAUUUUCUUGGCAAGUUUCCAAAUGUCAUCUUGAAUGGAUGUUUGAAUGUUUUCCUGGGGAUCCACUAUAUUUUAUUACUUAACUCAUGCUCAGAGAAUGUCAGCCAGGAACCUAGAUUUAGAUCUUGAUUUUGCCACUUUAACUGUCUGAAUGAUCUUAGGAAGGUCAAAUUGAAAUCAUCCAAUCAGAGAAUAAACAGGAAGGAGUCACUUUUUAGAAUCUAAAUUUCUUCAUCUGUGAAAUGGGGAAAAAAGAAAAAACAACAAAACCACCUCACCGUGGGUAAGACUGAGCCCAUUAAAGAAGAGACUACNNNNNNNNNNNNNNNNNNNNNNUUGAUAUAUUUCUUAACUCAUCAUGUCCACAUAGCCCAAAAGAAUUCCAUCUGUAAGCUUUUCCACUGGUCGAUGCACAUUGAUAAAUGGAGACAAUGUUUGUAUUCCUAUUUGAAUCACUGGAUGGGGAGGAAAAUCACUUAAGAAUUAUUAUAGAAAGAUCAUUCCCUCAAUGAAGGUUGUGAUGUCUACAAAUAGACAAAGCUAGGCAAGGCCAGGAAUUUCAUCCACAAUCUCCUACCACCACAAAGCCAUGAAGCGUCUCUCUCCUUGGUGACAUCCUCUUCUCACUCCUCCUUUGAUCCGUCCAUUUCCAUCGUGGUGGUUAGUAUCCCAGUGCGGUGGCAAAAGAAAACAAGAGCUUUGCUUGGCUAACUGCUCCUCCACUGCGCAAGAAAGAGAGUGUAAAAUGCACCUCUACCCUGAGGUUUUCUGCUUAUGUUAAUGGAAAUUUGGUGAGUGAAGAGAUAGGGAGAGUUAGCCUGUUCACCUUUGACUCAGAUAAGCAACACAUAACCGAGGACUUGGACAGAGGGCAGUCCAGAGCACACUGGCGCAGAUGAAAGGCUGGGGAGAGGUUUGCUUUACACAACCUAGAGCAGCGUGCUUUGACUCAGGGGAACUAAGCCAAGCAGAGGUCUCUGGGCUGCCCACUUUGUUCCAGAAAGGUAAUAAUAGGCUCCUCUGGAAACAUAGAGAACACACACACUGCCACCAGGAGCACCUGCUGAAGAAAGGCAGCCAGGAGCACCAGUGACUAGAGGCUCCACUCAGAACUUGGUCUCAAAGAGCAGCCCUUCGGAACCAGCAGUGUGAACUGGCCCUUUUUUGCCAGGGGUAGGUCAGUCUUCCGGUAAU